rnacentral:rRNA from 1 species
UGGGGAAUAUUGCACAAUGGGCGCAAGCCUGAUGCAGCCAUGCCGCGUGUGUGAAGAAGGCCUUCGGGUUGUAAAGCACUUUCAGCGAGGAGGAAGGUGGUGAACUUAAUACGUUCAUCAAUUGACGUUACUCGCAGAAGAAGCACCGGCUAACUCCGUGCCAGCAGCCGCGGUAAUACGGAGGGUGCAAGCGUUAAUCGGAAUUACUGGGCGUAAAGCGCACGCAGGCGGUCUGUUAAGUCAGAUGUGAAAUCCCCGGGCUCAACCUGGGAACUGCAUUUGAAACUGGCAAGCUAGAGUCUCGUAGAGGGGGGUAGAAUUCCAGGUGUAGCGGUGAAAUGCGUAGAGAUCUGGAGGAAUACCGGUGGCGAAGGCGGCCCCCUGGACGAAGACUGACGCUCAGGUGCGAAAGCGUGGGGCAGCAAACAGGAUUAGAUACCCUGGUAGUCCACGCUGUAAACGAUGUCGAUUUGGAGGUUGUGCCCUUGAGGCGUGGCUUCCGGAGCUAACGCGCUAAAUCGACCGCCUGGGGAGUACGGCCGCAAGGUU